AGACCUACGGGAGGCAGCAGUCGGGAAUAUUGCGCAAUGGAGGAAACUCUGACGCAGUGACGCCGCGUAUAGGAAGAAGGUUUUCGGAUUGUAAACUAUUGUCGUUAGGGAAGAGAAAGGACAGUACCUAAGGAGGAAGCUCCGGCUAACUACGUGCCAGCAGCCGCGGUAAUACGUAGGGAGCGAGCGUUAUCCGGAAUUACUGGGUGUAAAGGGAGCGUAGACGGCGAGGUAAGCCUGAAGUGGAAGCCCGCGGCCCAACCGCGGAACUGCUUUGGGAACUGUUUGGCUGGAGGAUGGGAGGG
rnacentral:rRNA from 1 species